UACUCUUUUCUCUGGUGCUGCAGCUGGUC
rnacentral:piRNA from 2 species